rnacentral:rRNA from 1 species
GACGAACGCUGGCGGCGUGCCUAAUACAUGCAAGUAGAACGCUGAAGGAGGAGCUUGCUUCUCCGGAUGAGUUGCGAACGGGUGAGUAACGCGUAGGUAACCUGCCUGGUAGCGGGGGAUAACUAUUGGAAACGAUAGCUAAUACCGCAUAACAGUAGAUGUUGCAUGACAUUUGCUUAAAAGGUGCAAUUGCAUCACUACCAGAUGGACCUGCGUUGUAUUAGCUAGUUGGUGAGGUAACGGCUCACCAAGGCGACGAUACAUAGCCGACCUGAGAGGGGGGUCGGCCAAACUGGGACUGAGACACGGCCCAGACUCCUACGGGAGGCAGCAGUAGGGAAUCUUCGGCAAAGGGCGGAAGUCUGACCGAGCAAAGCCGCGUGAGUGAAAGAGGUUUUCGGGUCGUAAAGCUCUGUUGUAAGAGAAGAACGAGUAUGAGAGUGGAAAGUUCACACUGUGACGGUAUCUUAACAGAAAGGGACGGCUAACUACGUG